rnacentral:rRNA from 1 species
CAAUAGCGUAUAUUAAAGUUGUUGCAGUUAAAAAGCUCGUAGUCGGAUCUCAGGUCCAGGCUUGCGGUCCACUCCUUGGUGGCUACUGCUCGUCCUGACCUACCUCCCGGUUUUACCCUUGGUGCUCUUGAUUGAGUGUCUCGGGUGGCCGGAACAUUUACUUUGAAAAAAUUAGAGUGUUCAAAGCAGGCAAUUCGCCUGAAUAAUGGUGCAUGGAAUAAUGGAAUAGGACCUCGGUUCUAUUUUGUUGGUUUCUAGGACCGAAGUAAUGAUUAAUAGGGACAGUUGGGGGCAUUCAUAUUCCAUUGUCAGAGGUGAAAUUCUUGGAUUAACGGAAGAUGAACUACUGCGAAAGCAUCUGCCAAGGAUGUUUUCAUUGAUCAAGAACGAAAGUUAGGGGAUCGAAGACGAUUAGAU